rnacentral:rRNA from 1 species
GACGAACGCUGGCGGCGUGCUUAACACAUGCAAGUCGAACGGAAAGGCCCUGCUUUUGUGGGGUGCUCGAGUGGCAAACGGGUGAGUAACACGUGAGUAACCUGCCCUUGACUUUGGGAUAACUUCAGGAAACUGGGGCUAAUACCGGAUAGGAGCUCCUGCUGCAUGGUGGGGGUUGGAAAGUUUCGGCGGUUGGGGAUGGACUCGCGGCUUAUCAGCUUGUUGGUGGGGUAGUGGCUUACCAAGGCUUUGACGGGUCGCCGGCCUGGGAGGGUGACCGGCCACAUGGGGACUGAGAGACGGCCCAGACUCCUACGGGAGGCAGCAGUGGGGAAUAUUGCACAAUGGGCGGAAGCCUGAUGCAGCAACGCCGCGUGCGGGAGGACGGCCUUCGGGUUGUAAACCGCUUUCGCCUGUGACGAAGCGUGAGUGACGGGAAUGGGGAAAGAAGCACCGGCUAACUACGU